GCCGAAGUGGUGGAAUUGGUAGACACGCCAUCUUGAGGGGGUGGUGGGCACCCGCCCGUGGGAGUUCGAAUCUCCCCUUCGGCACCA
rnacentral:tRNA from 1 species